rnacentral:rRNA from 1 species
AGAGUUUGAUCAUGGCUCAGAUUGAACGCUGGCGGCAGGCCUAACACAUGCAAGUCGAGCGGUAGCACAGAGAGCUUGCUCUCGGGUGACGAGCGGCGGACGGGUGAGUAAUGUCUGGGAAACUGCCUGAUGGAGGGGGAUAACUACUGGAAACGGUAGCUAAUACCGCAUAACGUCGCAAGACCAAAGUGGGGGACCUUCGGGCCUCAUGCCAUCAGAUGUGCCCAGAUGGGAUUAGCUAGUAGGUGGGGUAAUGGCUCACCUAGGCGACGAUCCCUAGCUGGUCUGAGAGGAUGACCAGCCACACUGGAACUGAGACACGGUCCAGACUCCUACGGGAGGCAGCAGUGGGGAAUAUUGCACAAUGGGCGCAAGCCUGAUGCAGCCAUGCCGCGUGUGUGAAGAAGGCCUUCGGGUUGUAAAGCACUUUCAGCGGGGAGGAAGGCGAUAAGGUUAAUAACCUUGUCGAUUGACGUUACCCGCAGAAGAAGCACCGGCUAACUCCGUGCCAGCAGCCGCGGUAAUACGGAGGGUGCAAGCGUUAAUCGGAAUUACUGGGCGUAAAGCGCACGCAGGCGGUCUGUCAAGUCGGAUGUGAAAUCCCCAGGCUCAACCUGGGAACUGCAUUCGAAACUGGCAGGCUAGAGUCUUGUAGAGGGGGGUAGAAUUCCAGGUGUAGCGGUGAAAUGCGUAGAGAUCUGGAGGAAUACCGGUGGCGAAGGCGGCCCCCUGGACAAAGACUGACGCUCAGGUGCGAAAGCGUGGGGAGCAAACAGGAUUAGAUACCCUGGUAGUCCACGCCGUAAACGAUGUCGAUUUGGAGGUUGUGCCCUUGAGGCGUGGCUUCCGGAGCUAACGCGUUAAAUCGACCGCCUGGGGAGUACGGCCGCAAGGUUAAAACUCAAAUGAAUUGACGGGGGCCCGCACAAGCGGUGGAGCAUGUGGUUUAAUUCGAUGCAACGCGAAGAACCUUACCUGGUCUUGACAUCCACAGAACUUUCCAGAGAUGGAUUGGUGCCUUCGGGAACUGUGAGACAGGUGCUGCAUGGCUGUCGUCAGCUCGUGUUGUGAAAUGUUGGGUUAAGUCCCGCAACGAGCGCAACCCUUAUCCUUUGUUGCCAGCGGUUAGGCCGGGAACUCAAAGGAGACUGCCAGUGAUAAACUGGAGGAAGGUGGGGAUGACGUCAAGUCAUCAUGGCCCUUACGACCAGGGCUACACACGUGCUACAAUGGCAUAUACAAAGAGAAGCGACCUCGCGAGAGCAAGCGGACCUCAUAAAGUAUGUCGUAGUCCGGAUUGGAGUCUGCAACUCGACUCCAUGAAGUCGGAAUCGCUAGUAAUCGUAGAUCAGAAUGCUACGGUGAAUACGUUCCCGGGCCUUGUACACACCGCCCGUCACACCAUGGGAGUGGGUUGCAAAAGAAGUAGGUAGCUUAACCUUCGGGAGGGCGCUUACCACUUUGUGAUUCAUGACUGGGGUGAAGUCGUAACAAGGUAACCGUAGGGGAACCUGCGGUUGGAUCACCU